rnacentral:rRNA from 1 species
GACGAAGGGGGCUAGCGUUGUUCGGAAUUACUGGGCGUAAAGCGCGUGUAGGCGGUUAUUCAAGUCGGGUGUGAAAGCCUUGAGCUCAACUCAAGAAAUGCACUCGGUACUGGGUGACUAGAGGACCGGAGAGGAUAGUGGAAUUCCCAGUGUAGUGGUGAAAUACGUAGAGAUUGGGAAGAACACCAGUGGCGAAGGCGGCUAUCUGGACGGUUUCUGACGCUGAGGCACGAAGGUCAGGGGAGCAAACGGG